CUAAUUUUUCUUGCUCCCCGAGUUUAUGCAUGCCAACGCUUCUCAAAAUUUCUCGAGAGUUCAGUUUGUUCGGAACGAAAGAUUUGAGAAGUAUUAUCUAUCCGAUCAACAUCAACACCAUUUGAGCUGAAUCCAUUAACAUUUACAAAUUGUUCUGUCUGUAUUUCUACUAGAAUGGGAGAAAGAAAAGUGCUAAACAAGUAUUAUCCCCCGGACUUCGAUCCGGCAAAGAUUCCACGGCCGCAGCAGCCAAAGAAAGAGCAAUUUCCUAUCCGCAAUAUGCUUCCCAUGAGCAUUCGUUGUAAAACUUGUGGGAACUACAUGUAUAAGGGUACUAAGUUCAAUUCGCGCAAAGAAAAAGCCAUCGGGGAGACUUAUUUGGGAAUACGAGUUUUUAGGUUCUAUAUCAAAUGCAGCAAAUGCUCAGCGGAAAUAACAUUCAAGACGGAUCCACAGAAUUCGGAUUAUGCUCUUGAGUGCGGUGCCACGAGAAAUUUCGAACCUUGGCGUGCAGAGGAUGAAGAGAAAAAGAAAAGGAAUAUAGAUGAUAUGGGAGAUGUGAUGAAAUCAUUGGAGAAUAGAUAUUUGGACUCCAAGAGGGGACUGGAUAUCCUAGUUGCUUUGGAUGAUAUCAAGUCUGUGAACUCGAGACAUGAAAGGGUGAGUGGAGAUUCGAUGCUCGAAGCUUUGCAACAGAAAAAUGAGGCGAAUGAAAGGAAAUUGGAAGAAGAGGAUGAAGCUCUUAUAGAAUCCGUGUUUAGGGGGGCACGAGAGCAUAUUUUACGAAGGAUUGAUGAUGAAGAAGAUUUAACCGUGUUUUCACCUGAGAAGAGAAGAAAGCUAUCCACCGAGCUCCCUAACCCAACGGAUUCUUUACCGAAAGGCAGUGUUCAUGUCAGCUUCAAGAGUCGAAAUAAUGGUAAAUUCAUUCUGAAGUCUUCAUCGGUCAAAGUUUCUAUUCUUAAGAAACCACUUCCUGAUUCCAAUAGUAACAAGGCAGGAAAGGAGGAGCCGAAGAAUCAGGAGGCAGGAUCCGUUGCAAGCAGUGGAUUACAAUCAUUAUGCCAACAAUAUGGAAGUAAUGAAGACGAUUGAUAGCAAAGAACCAUAUUUAGUUUGGUGUGAGGCAUGUUUCAUAUUUAGAGCUUGAGUUCUUGACUGAUACUUGCAGUAUAUUGUAUAUAACAUCCAAUUUUUCAUGUACUAGUAGAGUUUUGCUGUUUUUAUUAUACAAUUUCGUGUUUCUUGAAGUUAAAUAAGUUACUUUCAUAUGCAUUGUGUUAGUUAAAAGGGAAGAUGGAAUAGGGGAAUAAAAAAGCAUCGAUCCUUCCCACGGUUGUGGUUCUUCUAUUGUAUGCGAAGGCUUCUGAUUCAUCCAACAAUUGUGUAGCUUAUAUGUGGUAUAUUAUUAGCUGCAUGAGGAAUGCGUUCUUGGUAGAGCUAAUCUCAGCUAUUGUGGCUAGUUUUUUAUUAUAUCAACUUAGCUUGAUGCUAAUUUUAAUGGGUGAUGUGGACUUAUCGUUUAAAUUUCAGGUUCUGUUCUGCAUGCAUUGACAACGGGUCUACCAUCACAAGCCUAUGCUCACUUUGCCGGAAUGAGUUUCAAUUGAUAACGUGUACCUGUGAGUAUCUAAAGUUGUUCGAAUUUUCGGACCCUUCUCCAUCAUCAUUUUGAUGUCCUUGUAUUCAUUCUUGUGGCUGCAAAGCCUAUUUUUUUCUUUUACUGUUAUGACCUAUGCACGUGAUGAUUCUUAAUGCGAUUGUUGUAAAAUUAACAAUUCGAUCUUUGAAAUUCUACACUAAUAUCUUAACCAGGAAAUGGUUACUUGUGCAUAUUGUGGUUAAUGAAGGUAUAUGAUACGAUCAGUAGCAGCAAGACUAAUGAGGAUGCACAUCCAAUGUAAGCACUAAUGACUUCGUUAUAGCUAUUUUGUUCUCUUAUAAUAUGGACUUUUCAUUUUAUGUUUCCUAUAAUGGUCUACAGAGUAACUGGAAGAGGGUUGAUGCAUAGUGUAGCCAUUUAUUUGGUUUGAGAAUGUCGGAAGGAGAAAAUUCUCUCUCCCUCUGACUCCAUGCAAUCCCUUUGAUCCAAAAAUUGGCAGGAAAGAGAACACAAUAAGCAAUGUUAUUUAGUCAUAACCUCGUAACCACCUAUAUUUUGGAGGUCAAAAGAUAUAAUGAUCAAAGUUCAUUCGCCAGUAUAUUUUAGUGAUAGAUGGAUUGUUUUUUAAACUUUGUCCCAUACAUUACUCAGACUAGAAUAAAGGAAGUAACAAGCUGACCAAGAAACCAUGAAAAUAAGAUAAGAGCAGCACCGCAUCGAAAGAGCCAAGAAAUGGCUUCCGAUGAACCACAUGGGAAUGGUCUCAUGAAGAUUGUUCCCCCUCUACAUCUUGAGUCACGUUUUAUGGUUAUUGAGCGACUUCAUGCAUAGCUACAUCACUUGCUUGAGAAACAUGAACAGAGUACCAUGCAGCUCUUGUUUUUUUGAAAGGCAAAGCCUUUUCUGAGUAGAUGAAAUUCAAAUGAGAAUAACAGACUUAUGAGGCCUUUGUUAGAUCCUCAAGCAUUAUCUUUAGGGGUGAAGUACAUCCAAUUCCAUUUUAUUAUGCACGACAAGAAGUGACCAUAGAUAGCCUUUGGAAGAGGAAAUUGUACGACAUCAAUAAAAUGGCAAAGCGUGCCAUUGAAGACCAUGGAUAUAUAUUGUAAAACCAUUAUACCAAGGGAAGACAAAGGAAAUUAAAGAGAAAAAUCAAUGCACUGCAGAUUUUUUACAAGUGAUGUCUCUAAUCUCUAAAGCAACCUGCAAGUUCUAUGAUGUUUUACUUUUAUUCAUUUUGAUCAUUAUAAACAUGUAAUGAUAUUGUUUGUUCUCAGCCAAACAAAAGCAACAGAGGACAGGAACUUAGGAUUUGAGUUAAGCACAUCAAUUGAAUUUUUCAUUGAUGCCCACCUACAAAACACAGUCAAGUGUUGCAUCUGAACUAUAUGUUCUUUAUCAUCAAGAGAAGACAGUAAAUAGCAGCCUCCUUUUCAAAAUUGGCCUCUUAUGUAUGAACUCUUAGCUAGAUGAUGACUGGAGCAUUGAAGGGAAAAACGUCACCCUCUCUUUUCCAUCAUAGUAUAUUGAUGAAAAUGUAAGUUUUAUGGAGUUCCAUGAUGCUUGUGAAAUUGCAAUUGUACUUUACAAUAUGGCACCUGGCCUGCUGUUGCAUCAUUCUACUGUACCAUUGGAUGGUUAUUUUGAGCAAAUAUUUGUAUGUGCCUGUAUUUUAUUUCAUUUUUUGUGUGUUUUCAUAUUCAAGGAUGUUAAUAAUCUUAUGCCUAUAUUAUGCAGGUAACAAACCAGAUAUGCAAAAGAAAAUGUUGUAGCAAGAGAAGCUAUUCCCUGACUUUGGCUGUCGAUUAUGAAACAAAGUCGAGAUUCCUACACGACCUCUACCAACUCUAGUGAUGGUUUAGGCUCCCAACAAUUAAAGGGGAUGGGAAUGGCUAUAUCUAUGAAUGAUUGAAGCGAACUAUGAAAAGAAAUGGAUACAAUUUACUUUAUCAAAUCCCCUUUCUAUUUUUUGUCCUUUAUCCAUGUUUCUUGGUCCCAUCACCUUUCCUUAGGCCAAACAAGGCUUUGAACACAAAGCUCAGGACAAAAUGAAAUGGGAAGAACAUCAACAAUGACAUUUCUACGUAAAUCAUACCAAACAAGCUUUUCUUCAUUGACAUAUAAAAGAACCUUCUCACCAUUCUUCGAAUAAGUCAAUGGCCUCAAAGAAGACAAAUUACCAUUUGAAUUAAUCGUUAUCUGACCAACUGAUAGCAAUUGAGUCCAAGAUUUCUCAACUCCAUAUUUCUUCAUCACCCAUAUACCCACAUGAAACUCGCUAGCCGUUGCUAAAGAAAGACACCCUCCUAGAACAUUCAAAUUCAUGCUAAUAUUCUCGAUAGGAAUUUUUGUUGGCAGCAUCAACUCAUAAUGGUUCUCAUUCUCAACACUAAAACCCAUAAUUUUAAAUGUCUUGCCCGAAUACGCAUGGGAAAUAUCCUUAAGAAGCGAAUGCAAUGCCCCAUUGAGAUAUACUUCCCAGCGAUGAUCAAGCAACGGCAAUGGAUAAGGAAACCGCUCAACCUUGUUCCAAGAAUUCGAUUUCAAGCUUAAAAUUUCUGUUUCAGAGAACGUCCACUGCCCCGUUAAGUUGUGAAAUUCAACAACCCGAACAACUUUAUAGUCAUCCUUUCUUGGAUCGUAACACAGCCCAUAAUACUCUAUGGCAUAUAACGAUGAAUAAUCAGUUGGGAAUUCAAUCGGGAAGGCGUCAGGUAACUUCUUGUGUCUUCUUGAAAAGGGGUUCUGCAGUACAAGGGAUUCAGCAGCUACUACUAGAAAUAACCCAUUGCAAUAGUUGGACAUGCAUAUCAAUUGAAAAUCUGUGGAAUCAACUGGGGGUUGAAUGAGAUGGGCUGUGUCAAAUGAAUCCAAAUUUACGGAAUAAAGUCCCAUCUCCAUGCUUCCAUAAAUGAGGGAGUGAUUGGAGCGUGCUAUGAUGGAUUGAUUCAAAUGCUUUUUAAUGAAAUGAUCACUGUCAAUUAUGCAGCACCAACUUUUUGAUACACACCUGAAUCGCAAAAGGGAUGCCACUGAUAAGUGUGAUAACACUUCUUCGAUGAGUUCUGAAUGAAUCAUGUUUUCUCUGUUGUUACAGAUUUUCUUGAAUUCAACAGUUUAAGGGGGUGAAAGAAGGCAAUGUCUAAGACAGAAGUAAAAUAUUUUCAUGAAUACAAGAGUUGAAGGGGGUAAAAGAAAGCACUGUCUAAGAGAGAAGUAAAAGAUUUUCUUGAAUUCAAGAGUUGUAGGGGGUUAAAGAAGGCAGCGUCUAAGAGAGAAGUAGAAGAUUUUCUUGAAUUCAAGAGUCGAAAGAGGUGAAGGCACUGUCUAAGAGAGAAGUAAGGUAGCGGGUUGAGUUUGAAGAGGAAAUGAGAUGCAGUGGACAAGAUAGAAAUAGAAGCUGUGCCGUGAUUUUAUGUACAUCCCGUAUCAGAUCAGCCGGUGGACAAGUUAGAAAAUGGUACAUUCUUCAAAUUUCAUGCUGUAAUCAAAGUUAUAAACUGUAAUUGAGAGAUUUAUUUAUUAUAAUCUAAUACUUUAAUAGGUUUUUAAGAAUAAAAGUAAAA
rnacentral:lncRNA from 1 species